rnacentral:rRNA from 1 species
AACGAACGCCGGCGGCAGGCUUAACACAUGCAAGUCGAGCGCCCCGCAAGGGGGGCGGCAGACGGGUGAGUAACGCGUGGGAAUCUACCCAUCUCUACGGAAUAACGCAUGGAAACGUGUGCUAAUACCGUAUACGUCCUUCGGGAGAAGGAUUUAUCGGAGAUGGAUGAGCCCGCGUUGGAUUCGCUAGUUGGUGGGGUAAAGGCCUACCAAGGCGACGAUCCAUAGCUGGUCUGAGAGGAUGAUCAGCCACACUGGGACUGAGACACGGCCCAGACGCCUACGGGAGGCAGCAGUGGGGAAUAUUGGACAAUGGGCGCAAGCCUGAUCCAGCCAUGCCGCGUGAGUGAUGAUGGCCCUAGGGUUGUAAAGCUCUUUCACCGGUGAAGAUAAUGACGGUAACCGGAGAAGAAGCCCCGGCUAACUUCGUGCCAGCCGCCGCUGUAAAAC